ACUUAAGGGUAAUAUCACUAAGGCAAAAGAUUUCAUUCGUUGAGUGCCAGAAGUCUAGAUUGUCUGCCUUAACACUUGUGAAGUAUGGACUGAGUACCAGCCUCCUUCUAGUGUCAUGAACUACCAGAAAGACCCCCAAGUACCGACUGCAUCUGCAUGCGAUGACCACUCUACAAAGUGGAGCAAAUGAGGGAGGGCUUCAUGCUCUUUUUGAGAAGUUAAAGCCAAGGAAUAAAAACUGCCCACACCACUAACCAUCUAAGCAAUGGAUGUCCUUAAGUGAGUUUGAAAAGGACCGAUAAGACUGUGUGAAGCAUUAAAGCCCUCGGUGUAAUGCCCAGCCUGUUCCUGGACCAGUGUCAGCGUGAAUGCACAAAAUUUGAGGCUCACCAACAGUACACGUCACACCCAAACACCAUUUUCUGCCCUCUUAAUCUAACCAUAGUGAUCUCCUGGGACACGGCCAUGUGUUAACUCAGCAGCUCUUACACAAGUCCCUACAGUGAAGCAUAUGUUUAUGUGGGCUAUUGAACUGAGUGCUAACCAACAAACCACGGAAAAAUAUGACCCUACAAUUUACUAGGCUAUUUCUUCUAACAAAAGGCUUACAACAGAAUUGCAAGCUAAAAGCAACCACUGUCUAAGUAACGACCAUGAGAAACACACAUUUUUGACUGUACACAUUUCAUUUUAUUUUAAAUGACUAAAUAUUAGACUUCCAUAUACUCAGAGACUUUGAAACCAGUACUACUUUAAAUGAUCCCAACAUUUUUUUCAUUAUAUGCAAACCACCUAGGCAGUUCUGAC